GGGAAACCUCUCCCCUGGGUCCCGUCCCAGGUGGAAGAUCAGGGGCAGCUUCGUGUGGUCUUCCAGAUUGUGAGUUGUGACCCCGGAAACGUUCUGCCCAGGGCAGAAAUCAAUGCCCUGCAAUGAGAAGAGGAGGGAAGGUGUGUCCUGGAGCCCCUGAACCACGGCCAUGAGGGGCCACGUCUGCCCGUGUCCUGGAGCCCCUGACCCGCGGCCAUGAGGGGCCUCGUCUGCCCGUGUCCUGGAGCCCCUGACUCGCGGCCGUGAGGGGCCUUGUCUGCCUGUGUCCUGGAGCCCCUAACUGGGGGCCGUGGGGGGGUCUCAUCUGCCUGUGCCUGGCAGCGUCCCUGGUACUCAGCAUGGUGCAGGGCGCUGGCUAAACGCUGAAGGACUAGCGGGCCCAUAAGCAUCCUGUGGAGGAGGUGAAGCCACCCGCUCUGGGCCCGAGAUGCGUAGCUGGCAUGCCUCACAUACCCCGCUUUCAUGUACCCCUCUUCUUUGCGAGGCAGGCAAGUGUAUUUAAAACACCUUAGCCAGCCUCAGAUCUGGACUGCCACUAAUUUCAUGGAGGAAAGCCCCUUUUAACAGCCCACUCUCUGCUGGGGAAGGGAGGGGAGGGGAGGGGAAGGGAGGGGAAGGGAGGCCCUGCCCUGGGAGAAGGGAGAGCCACAAUGCUCAGAAUCCCUACAGAAACCCUAAGACAGGGAGGAGCAGGACCAACAUGUGAAAGGCAAGAGAAAACACAGAAAACAGAAAACAGACCCAGGGAGCUGACGCAGAUUCACACACUCAAGAAGGGCGAGGAUUUUACAGUAACCACAGUUCUCUUUCUGCUGCCCCUGGGCUUCCUGAUUCAGGAAAGGGGAGGUAUGCCUCCAACAUUCCCAGAGCGGGUGCUGCAGGCCAAGGGGCUCGUCCGAGGACCGAUGCCCAGGACGGCCCUCGCAGGCGGCAAUGCUGGGGGACCGAUGCCCAGGACGGCCCUCGCAGGCGGCAAUGCCGGGGACCGAUGCCCAGGACGGCCCUCGCAGGCGACAGUGCCGGGGACCGAUGCCCAGGAUGGCCCUCGCAGGUGACAGUGCCGGGGACCGAUGCCCAGGAUGGCCCUCGCAGGUGACAGUGCCGGGGACCGAUGCCCAGGAUGGCCCUCGCAGGUGGCAGUGCCCGGGACCGAUGCCCAGGAUGGCCCUCGCAGGUGGCAGUGCCCAGGGAACGAUGCCCAGGAUGGCCCUCGCAGGUGGCAGUGCUGGGUAAAACCUGAAAGAAGAGCGGGUGCGGGGCCUGCACAGGGUGGGGAGGAGCCAAAACACUCCUGGGCAUCAUCGCCCUCCAGACACUGCCCCACGAGCAGCUUCCCUCCUCAGUCUGGGUGCUCAGCCCUCAGCCCAUCCUCACUUCCAGUCUUUAGACUCUCCAUUAAACUAAAUGAUUUUCUUCCCAAUUAAGGCAGAUUAGCAGGGGGUUCAUAUCUCAAGACUUUGAUGCUGGGAGUGGGUGGGGCUGAGAGACACCUCUCAGGAGAGGCUGGGGGAUGCUGGAGCGUAGGGGUCAGCAGGGGCCAGAGAAGACCGUGGGGAGGGAGCAGGAGGCUUGAGGCAAGGGCUCGUGGGAGAAAGCCUGGCGCUGACAAUGCUGGGGUAGCCAGGGGCGGCAGGAGCCCCAGGCCCUGUGCGUGUGGCGUUUCACCCUCCCACGCUGGGGGUUGCUGUGGUGAUGUUGAUGCUGCGGCCCCCAUGUAGCACCUGGGCCAAGCAGGCCAUGUCCCUGUUGCCUCCAGCCUGGGGUGUGGGGGAGGCUCAGAUGCCCUGGCAGGAUGGAGAGGCCCAUGGGGGCCACCUGACCAGGGUCUAGGCCACGCCUGUAGCUAUGCCGCGGGGCUACUGUCAUCACGCGGGGCAGGAAGAGGUCCCUCCCUCCUCUCCAGCCUGUCAGCUGCCAUGCCCUAGGCCAUGCUGAAGGACUGGGGGCCACACAGAGGAGGCUGUGGAGGGGGUGGAGUUCCUGCCUGUCUCACCCUCCUGUGCCUCCCCCAGGACGGUGCUCAGGGGCCACGUCUGGAUAGAGAUGGGGGCAGCUCCGCCUGCGCCCACAUCCCGAGCCCUGUACCUGUCUGAAGUUCUCCCAGGAGUUGGUCCAGGUCCAGAAGUGAGCCUUGUGCUGCCCGAGGGUGGCCGCCAUCAGCGUGUCGCCACGGUAAUAGAAGAUAGGC
rnacentral:lncRNA from 1 species